rnacentral:rRNA from 1 species
UGAGCAAUCUGCCCUUCUCAUCGGAAUAAGCGUUGGAAACGACGUCUAAUGCCGAAUACGACCUCCUUUCGCAUGAUCGGAGGUGGAAAGCUCCGGCGGAGAAGGAUGAGCUCGCGGCCUAUCAGCUAGUUGGUGUCGGUAACGGCCCACCAAGGCGACGACGGGUAGCCGGCCUGAGAGGGUGACCGGCCACACUGGGACUGAGACACGGCCCAGACUCCUACGGGAGGCAGCG